UGGGGAAUAUUGGACAAUGGGCGCAAGCCUGAUCCAGCAAUGCCGCGUGAGUGAUGAAGGCCUUAGGGUUGUAAAGCUCUUUCGCACGCGACGAUGAUGACGGUAGCGUGAGAGGAAGCCCCGGCUAACUUCGUGCCAGCAGCCGCGGUAAUACGAAGGGGGCUAGCGUUGUUCGGAAUUACUGGGCGUAAAGGGCGCGUAGGCGGCCUGUUUAGUCAGAAGUGAAAGCCCCGGGCUCAACCUGGGAAUAGCUUUUGAUACUGGCAGGCUUGAGUUCCGGAGAGGAUGGUGGAAUUCCCAGUGUAGAGGUGAAAUUCGUAGAUAUUGGGAAGAACACCGGUGGCGAAGGCGGGCCAUCUGGACGGACACUGACGCUGAGGCGCGAAAAGCGUGGGGAGCAAACAGAUUAGAUACCCUGGUAGUCCACGCCGUAAACGNUGAAUGCUAGACGUCGGGGUGCAUNCACUUCGGUGUCGCCGCUAACGCAUUAAGCAUUCCGCCUGGGGAGUACGGCCGCAAGGUUAAAACUUAAAGGAAUUGACGGGGUCAUAGCUGUUUCC
rnacentral:rRNA from 1 species